UUUAUUGGUUGCAGGUUCGACCCGAGGAAUUCUGUGUUGGAGUGGUCCAUUCUAAUUAUAGACAACUCGAACCGAAGUGGAUCAAUGGAGUUUGUUGUUCCCCCAACAGACUCAUCUGUAUUUUUCCCGAUUUCUGUGAACUUCUCUGCUACUAAUACAUUCAGUGACUUAAAGGUUGUGAAUGUCUUGCCCCAGAAAGGUGGAGCUCCACCGAAGUUCGGUCAAAGAACGCAGUGAUGUAGGCUAAACUCGUCAGUAUGUCAGAGCUGUCUUUCUACAUUUAUGCUUUGUACUUCCUAGAAAUUUCAUGAUCUUCCUAUGCAUGCAGAGGGAAGAAGUAGUAUGAACCACCUAGGUACAUGACAAUAAAGACUGCCAUUGAGCAGCUCGUGGAAGUUGUGCAAGCAAAAGUAGAAUCUGUCUGCAAUGAAGACACGGAGUGUGUUGGUUUUGCUAGAAUUGGAAGUGAAGAUCAUAUCAUUGUGGCUGGUACAAUGAAGCAACUUCAAUUGCAUGUUUUUUUCCUAUCAAAUAGUACUAUAGGAGUGUGCAACUACUCAAAUUUUGAUGUGUUAUUAUGUAAAAAAUUAAACUCUUCAAUAUUUUGUGCUGAAAGUAGUAACUUGUCAAUAUGUUGAAUAUUUAAGACUACUUGAAUACUUAAAGAACAUUUUGUUGUUGAUGACAGUGUUGAAUGUUUUAAACUAAUUUGUGGAUUGUUAAUACAAUGUUGAAUGUUUUUAUUUUUUGUUAUUUGAAAAUCAAGUUCAUUUGA